UCACAUAUAGCUUCACAUAAAACUCAUUCACAUCAUACCUUCACAUAUAGCUUCACAUAAAACUCAUUCACAUCAUACCUUCACAUAUAGCUUCACAUAAAACUCAUUCACAUCAUACCUUCACAUAUAGCUUCACAUAAAACUUUACAUAUAGCUUCAUAUAGGACUUUACAUAUAGCCUCAUUCAUAUAUAAUAAUAUAACAAUACAAUAACACUCA
rnacentral:lncRNA from 1 species